rnacentral:rRNA from 1 species
CCACUGAGAAGAUAGUGGCGAACGGGUGAGUAACACGUGGGGUAACCUAGCCCAGUAAGAGGGGGAGUAACAUCCGGAAACGGGUGCUAAUACCGCAUAGUUUUCUUGAUCGCAUGAUCGGGAAAGGAAAGACGGCCUUUGUGCUGUCGCUUAUGGAUGGACCCGCGGCGUAUUAGUUAGUUGGUGAGGUAACGGCUCACCAAGACGAUGAUACGUAGCCGACCUGAGAGGGUGAUCGGCCGCAUUGGGACUGAGACACGGCCCAAACUCCUACGGGAGGCAGCAGUAGGGAAUCUUCCGCAAUGGACGAAAGUCUGACGGAGCAACGCCGCGUGAGUGAAGAAGGUUUUUCCGGAUCGUAAAACUCUGUUGUCAGAGAAGAACAAGUUGGAGAGUAACUGCUCCAGCCUUGACGGUAUCUGACCAGAAAGCCACGGCUAACUACGUGCCAGCAGCAGC